UAUUUCAGUUCUUCAAUUCCAAUUAAAAUUCUGUUCUAUUAUCUUUUCUUUGAAAAAUUUUUAUGCUUCUUGCUUUUUAAAUUUUGAAUUGUGCAAAAUUUAUAUUUCUUGCAAUUUAGAUUUUCGUUCUUCUAAGAUAUGUGAUACCUUGUAAAUUAGGUGAUGUUAUCCCUUGCAAACUUCUACUUUGAUUUCAUUUGAUGANUGCAAUGGUAGUAUAGGCAAUCUUUUCUUUUUGUCAUAGAAAUUAGGUUNUUAAGUUACAAUUAUAUUUCCUUUCUUUACGAUUUGCUUUGAUAUUGAAUGAUCUGGAGUAGCAUUUUAAGAAAAGGAGGCACUUNCUGCCAUUGAGUUUGCAAUAAAGGUUAUUUGCUGCUUGGUAUUAGUUGGAAAAAGGACUAUAUUUCAAAGUGUUCUAAGUUUUGUGAACGGUAACAAAAUCAACGGUAACGAAAUCAAGAUAUCAAGAGUAACUGCAUUGAUUAUGAUCUUGGUAGCGGGAGGAUUAUGUGACAAUAUCGUGAGAGCAUGGGACUACAGGAAUCCACUUUUUACUUGAUGGGAUGUGUACCUCCUUGUAUUGUCUCUUAAUUUUCUGGAGAUAGAUGUGGUCUCCCACAUUUCAGAUUCUUUAAGUGGGCUUUGAUUUGGUCAAGUGAAUCAUGGAUCUGUUGGAGGCUAAGGUGAAGAACUGGAAAUGAAUGGUAAAUGUGGUUGGGAUGGUCACGAUGAGAGGAGCUGAGAAUAAAAUAAAAACACUUUAAAAACAUAUUAUAUUAAAUGUAUUAUUUUUAAAUCAAAAUUCCACGUAAUGGAAUUAUUUAAAUUAAAAACUAAAUGUCCAUUACAGAUCAGCAUGGUGCAAACGGUGUUACUGACCCUUUAACGGAAAGGGCUUAAUUGUCCCAAAUUUACAAAU